GGCCUUGCGCGUGCUAUACAUGCAAGUCGAGCGAAUCUGAGGGAGCUUGCUCCCAAAGAUUAGCGGCGGACGGGUGAGUAACACGUGGGCAACCUGCCUGUAAGACUGGGAUAACUUCGGGAAACCGGAGCUAAUACCGGAUAAUCCUUUUCUACUCAUGUAGAAAAGCUGAAAGAUGGCUUCGGCUAUCACUUACAGAUGGGCCCGCGGCGCAUUAGCUAGUUGGUGAGGUAACGGCUCACCAAGGCGACGAUGCGUAGCCGACCUGAGAGGGUGAUCGGCCACACUGGGACUGAGACACGGCCCAGACUCCUACGGGAGGCAGCAGUAGGGAAUCUUCCGCAAUGGACGAAAGUCUGACGGAGCAACGCCGCGUGAGUGAUGAAGGUUUUCGGAUCGUAAAACUCUGUUGUUAGGGAAGAACAAGUACCGUUCGAAUAGGGCGGUACCUUGACGGUACCUAACCAGAAAGCCACGGCUAACUACGUGCCAGCAGCCGCGGUAAUACGUAGGUGGCAAGCGUUGUCCGGAAUUAUUGGGCGUAAAGCGCGCGCAGGUGGUUUCUUAAGUCUGAUGUGAAAGCCCCCGGCUCAACCGGGGAGGGUCAUUGGAAACUGGGAGACUUGAGUGCAGAAGAGGAAAGUGGAAUUCCAAGUGUAGCGGUGAAAUGCGUAGAGAUUUGGAGGAACACCAGUGGCGAAGGCGACUUUCUGGUCUGUAACUGACACUGAGGCGCGAAAGCGUGGGGAGCGAACAGGAUUAGAUACCCUGGUAGUCCACGCCGUAAACGAUGAGUGCUAAGUGUUAGAGGGUUUCCGCCCUUUAGUGCUGCAGCAAACGCAUUAAGCACUCCGCCUGGGGAGUACGGCCGCAAGGCUGAAACUCAAAGGAAUUGACGGGGGCCCGCACAAGCGGUGGAGCAUGUGGUUUAAUUCGAAGCAACGCGAAGAACCUUACCAGGUCUUGACAUCCUCUGACAAUCCUAGAGAUAGGACGUUCCCCUUCGGGGGACAGAGUGACAGGUGGUGCAUGGUUGUCGUCAGCUCGUGUCGUGAGAUGUUGGGUUAAGUCCCCGCAACGAGCGCAACCCUUGAUCUUAGUUGCCAGCAUUCAGUUGGGCACUCUAAGGUGACUGCCGGUGACAAACCGGAGGAAGGUGGGGAUGACGUCAAAUCAUCAUGCCCCUUAUGACCUGGGCUACACACGUGCUACAAUGGAUGGUACAAAGGGCUGCAAGACCGCGAGGUUUAGCCAAUCCCAUAAAACCAUUCUCAGUUCGGAUUGCAGGCUGCAACUCGCCUGCAUGAAGCCGGAAUCGCUAGUAAUCGCGGAUCAGCAUGCCGCGGUGAAUACGUUCCCGGGCCUUGUACACACCGCCCGUCACACCACGAGAGUUUGUAACACCCGAAGUCGGUGGGGUAACCGCAAGGAGCCAGCCGCCUAAGGUGACAGAUCUGG
rnacentral:rRNA from 1 species